rnacentral:lncRNA from 1 species
AAACCGAGGGGACUGAGACAGGACCGGAAUCGCUGUCCCUGGUGCAUCACAGAAACGGCAGGAGAUCGCACAGCUGCACCGCCCUGGGUGGCAGCUGGGCCGGGAACGCGGGGCGUAGGAUCAAGCUCUCCCCGGCCCAUCGGCAUCUCGGCAUCUCGGGUCGGGCCGGGUCACUGUUGUCACAGAAGUGAACAGGAUGCUCCGAGGCGUGUCACAGCAGACGACCAACCGGCUCCACGCUGGCGUCUAAGUCCGUCCUCGCGGCAGGGCUGGGACGCAGGUUUUACCGGCCCCACUGUGCGAAGCCGCGGGUCAAGCAUCCUGCGCUCGGUACGCCGCAGAGCCGGAGCCGGGGUCCGCGCCCCUCCGCGCCCCUCCGCGCCCACCCAUCGGCCAGCCCUCGCCCGCGGAGGAUUUCGGAGCACGGAGGACGCGCUUUCCGCCAGCCCGAGCCUUUCGGUCCGCGGUAAGGAGAGCGGGGCCCCGACGGCCGGAGCGCUGGCGCGGGCCUCCCGGCGGACGCGGGGCCGGGCGGGGCCGGAGGGGGAGGGGGAGGGGGAGCGGGGCCCCGGGGUUCCCCCCCCGGGCCGCGGGGGCGGGGCGGCGGCGGCGGCCGGGGGCGCGGGCUUUCCGGGGGCGGUCCCUGGCGGCCGGGCAUUCCGGAGCCGCCGAGCGCCGCGGCCCCGAGCCGAGCCGCGCCGAGACCCCGGGAGCGGGGUGCCCCGAGCCCCCCGCGGGCCGCUGCGGUGGCGGCCGCGGGCUCUUGCCGAGCAGCUCUGCGGAUCCCGGGAGUGAAGCAGCAUGGAUGCCGUCAGCCAGGUCCCCAUGGAAGCCGCACUCCCCAAGCACAUCCUGGAUAUCUGGGUCAUUGUCCUCAUCAUCCUGGCCACCAUUGUCAUCAUGACCUCCUUGUUGCUGUGCCCAGCCACCGCGGUCAUUAUCUAUCGCAUGCGGACUCAUCCUGUCCUCAACGGGGCUGUCUGAAAUCAGUGUCCCAAGAGGGGCCGGGGAGAAACAUGGAUAGUAUCUCCUCCCCCAGCCUCUUCCUUCUCAGAAAAGCAGCAGGAGGGGCUUUGGAGUGUGGACUCUGGAGCUUGAUGUGUGAGAGGAGACUGGAGUUCUUGUUUGGAUUUUGCCACCGGCCAGCUGUGUGAGCUGGGUCAAGGGACCUAACUCUGUGGGUUCCAGGUUCCUUAUCUUCUAAAUGGGGAUCAUGGUCCUGCCCUUCCUACCUCAGAGGGUUGUAAGAACCAAUGCCUUGGGUGGAGGUUAAAGCUGUUUGUGGCUAUGAAUGGUAAAGCCACCACAGGGUUAUAAUUGCUGACAAUGGCCUUCAGGGUGGUGAUGAAGACACUGGGGGCAGAGCAGCCUUUGCCAGUGCCCCUCAGGUCGAACCAAGCAAAGACACCCUGUCUGCAUUCCAAGGGGCCAGUAGUGCUUUGGCUCAAAGUCAUUUUCUUUGUGGUGCCACUCCCUCAAGUUACCUAAUUUGGAGGGAACUGAGUGUGGCAGGAGGAGGGAGAUGGGUGGAACUUCCUAGGACCUUCCUGUGCCAGAAUGUCUACCCCUGUAACAGUCUAGAGGACGGCACUGCCAUGUCUUGGCAAGGCCGAAGGACCUGGGGUGAUGGGCUUCUUUCUGCAUUGGAGUCUCCUCACUUUGACACUCAAGCUAUGUGUCACAACACAGGGUGGCUGAGUUCCCCGGAUGGCUUUCAGGAUCUCCAGCCCCCACCAACUUGUGUGUCUCACACUCAAGAAGCUGUGUCCCCUCACCCCAGCACCUGCUCUAACCAGCUACGUGGUGUCAAGUGUACGCCCUUCAUCCCCUCCCACCAGCACUGCAGCCAGUCUAAGCUACAGAUUUUAAGAGAUGUUCCCAGGACUUUUGGAACUCACUCAAGACAGCGAUGGUUAUUUUAGAUGCUAUGAUCUAUAUUUAUAGAGAGAUUCCUGGACCACUCAAGCUCUUUGACCAAAAUCAGGAACAUCUUGGGAUUUAUUAAAUUAUGUAAGAAGAUAUAGCACAGAUAUCAGAAUAUUGUGUGGAAGUGAUGCUGUUACUUUGGUCUGAUUUCAUUGAUGUAUGCGACCAGUUUCCAAUAAAGUGCUAGAAUGACCAUGUCUGAGGUUUUUCUUUAGCGAGCACUUAUAAUAAGCUCAGGAACUUGGGUAAAAGGAUUCCACUGAAUUUAUGGGCCUUAGAGACAGUUUGAAUGUAAGAACUGAAAGGGAAAGAGAGGAAUCCAGUUGACUUCCAAGGUUCCAGCUUUGGCAAGUGGGUAUUUGUGGUUUACUUAGACAUAGGAUGCAAGGAGAAAAACAAAUUUGGUGGGUAAGUGAUGAAUUUGGUGGCAGACACAUCGUGUUUGAGGUGCUCGUGAUCUUCAGGCGGACACUUUCACGAUGCAACUGGAAACCUAGGUCUGUUCUUUGGGAUAGAUUUUAUGGCUGGAGUUACGCUUUGGGGGAUUAUCUGCAUAUGGUAGCUACGCCACGCAAGGGGACAGGACCACCCAGGCAGAGUACACGGACCGGGGGCAGAGCUAAAUGCAGAACUUGGCAGACACUACAUAGGAGCGGAAGGGGGGCGGGGGAAAGAUAAAGCAAGGAGAUUGAAAAGAUCAUGUGCUUAGAGGUGCUAUGAGGGGGAUGACAUCUUAUCGUGUGGGUUGAGGAAUGAGUCAGAGGUAAGGAGGUGGAGACAGAAUGGACAACUCUCCAGGAAUAGGGCUGUACAGAGGUAAGGGAGGAGGGUUUGGGAAGAAUGGUCAAGGGGAAUAACUUUAUGUGAUAAGAUUUGGAUUGGUUUGCUCAGCAUCUAUCCCAAUCUUUGCUUUGCUUUUCCCUUUUCCCUAUGCCUUCCUAGGUGACAGAGGCUAGCAAGUGAAAACCUACAUUAAACAUGAACACUACAUUUCCCUAACUAAACUGUAGCCAGAGAUUCAGACGUGAUUUAGGUUUGCUAACCAGAUGCACACAUGUGAGGCUUCUGUUUGGGACCUAGUUAGAUUAGGACAGACACUGCAGGGUGUGAAGCAUCCACGGUCUAGUGGUCGGUCCAUAGCUAUGGGCAUAAGACAGAGCCAAGAUUUCUGCGUUUUUAAAGCAGUGCCCUGUCCUUUGAGAAGUGUAGUACUGAAGUAUCUGGGAACUUUGUUUCACUGGGACAGCUGUCUAGAACUUAAACCUCCUGAUUACUUGCUGGAGGAAAACUUGAGAUAUUUGUAAUUGAUAAGCAUGACAUCAGUCUUGUGCAAUUCGAGCCUAUGAAAAGCAGUACCCUGAGAAUUGCUGGAUGUGGGGUGUAGGCUCUGUGUGUGCCACCUAGCCUUUCUGAAUCUGAUUCCAGGUCUGUAAAGCGGAAGGUAUCAGAAUUGAGAAAGAGAAUGAGAAAAUCAUUCUAGGAUUUUAGGGUGGAGUGUAAAGACUUUUAGGCAGUCCACCAGAUGGCGAUACAGCUCUUUUUUUUUUCUUUCUCAAGUGAAGUAGCUCACAGUUCCCAUCCAAUCCUAUCAUUCCUAGCACUCAACAUUUUGUUUUUCCAGUUCUGGUUUCAGCAACUCUGAAGGUAACUUAGGACCAUCCAAUCCAAGUUCCCCUAUAAUAAAGGAAUCCCCCUCUCUAAUGGUAGGGUUGCCAUGUGUUGCCUCCUCAGUAUUUCCCAGUGUUCUUGACAACCUGCAACAGAUUCACCCAGGAGCAUUUAUUUACAAAUGCAGCUCCCAGAGUCCUGGUUCACAUUUAUGAGAAUCCCGUGGAAAAGGUCUUGCAUAUCUGUUUUGUAAAAAAAAGCUACCUGGGUGAUCAGUGAACAAGUUAAACGUGGAGAACCACAUGGUUGGUGGAAAGGAAUUCACUUCUUGCUGAAACCACUCCUUGACAGCCCUUGUAUUAAAAUUCUUCCUUGAGAAGGGAGAAGAAAUGGGUAGGAAAUAUCAGAAAGGGAGACAGAACAUAAAGACUCCUAACUCUGGGAAACCAACUAGGGGUGGUGGAAGGGGAGGAGGGUGGGAGGUGGGGGUGAAUGGGUGAUGGGCACUGAGGGGGGCACUUGACGGGAUGAGCACUGGGUGUUAAUCUGUAUGUUGGCAAAUUGAACACCAAUAAAAAAUGAAUUUAUUAUUAAAAAAAUAAAAAAUAAUAAUAAAAUAAAAUUCUUCAUUGAGUAAGAGAGAAAUCAGGCCUUAAGAUGCCCCCUUGGGGGCCACCCUGAAGAGAUCAACUUCCUUUUCCUUGGGACUUCUGAGCAUUUUUUUAAAAAAGAUACAUUAUUUUAGAGACAGUGGGGCAGGGAAGGGCAGAGGGAGAGAGAGAGAAUCUCAAGCAGACUCCUGCUGUGCAUGCAGAGCCUGCCAUGGGGCUCAGUCUUACAACUCUGAGAUCAUGACCUGAGCCAAAAUCAAGAGUCAGUCGACCUAGCCACCCAGGCACCCCACUUCUGAGCGUGAAGAUCACUAUCAUGAGUUACCUCAUCCCACCAUCUUGCCCGAGUGGGAAAUUCACACUUUGCAUUACAUGGUGGCUGUCAUCCUCAUUCCUUCCUUUGGCAGCAGAGCAAGGGCCCGAACAAUCUUGGCUUCACUGUAUGUUGGCUUUCUGAUUGUGGGCAAGGUAACAAACUCUUUGAGUCUUAAUUUCCUCAUCUGUAAAAUAGACACAGGAGUAACUCUAGCUACCUCACAGAAUUGUUACGAGUAUUAUAUGUGGUCACAGCGGCAAGGUAGGUGGUAAAAUACAGCAAAUGCUCAAUACCUAUGAUCUAUUGCUAGUGAGUCCUAGUUUCUUCAUCUGUAAAAUGGUGAUGACAGUUACUUCUGAGUGUGGAGGGGAUUAAAUGAGAUAGAAAAGAAUUUGCCCAGUGCUUGGCACAUGGAAGUCUCUCAGUAAUGGUUAACUAUAAGAUGGCCAAUAAUACAAAAAUACCAAAGGCCUAAUGGGGUUGGAUUCUUAAAUCAUCAAAGUAUUGAGAUUGGCAGAAAACUUCCCCAUUGACAUCCAGUAAGAUUGGCACUAAAUUCACAGAGGGCCUUAAACAAGUGUGAAAAUCAUACUUCUUCUAUAUUAAUCUCCCUUCAGGAAUUAUUUCAUAAUUUAUUCACCAUUAUUUAAUAAAACACCAAGUUUUCCACUUCUAAGUUUUAAUCCUUCACAGAAGUUGCUUUCUAAAUGUCAAAAAAAAAUUUUAAGCCUUUUGGUAAGAUAAAACUAUCAUCAGGUCUUUAUAUGAUUCUUGCUAAAGAGAGAAUGGAAAGAAGAUUGUGAUGUGAAGUGGUGAUAAUAAUAAAAUGUUAAUUAAAAAUAGAUCUGCCUAUGACCCAGCAAUUGCACUGCUGGGGAUUUACUCCAAAGAUACAGAUGCAGUGAAACGCCGGGACACCUGCCCUCCCAUGUCUAUAGUAGCAAUGUCCACAAUAGCCAAACUGUGGAAGGAGCCUCGGUGUCCAUCGAAAGAUGAAUGGAUAAAGAAGAUGUGGUUUAUGUAUACAAUGGAAUAUUACUCAGCCAUUAGAAACGACAAAUACCCACCAUUUGCUUCGACGUGGAUGGAACUGGAGGGUGUUAUGCUGAGUGAAAUAAGUCAAUCGGAGAAGGACAAACAUUAUAUGGUCUCAUUCAUUUGGGGAAUAUAAAUAAUAGUGAAAGGAAAUAGAGGGGAAGGGAGAAGAAAUGGGUAGGAAAUAUCAGAAAGGGUGACCGGACAUGAGAGACUCCUAUCUCUGGG